GACGAACCGUGCGAACGUUGUUCGGAAUCACUGGGCGUAAAGGGCGCGUAGGCGGCUUUUCAAGUCGGGGGUGAAAGCCUGUGGCUCAACCACAGAAUUGCCUUCGAUACUGUUAGGCUUGAGACCGGAAGAGGUGAGUGGAACUGCGAGUGUAGAGGUGAAAUUCGUAGAUAUUCGCAAGAACACCAGUGGCGAAGGCGGCUCACUGGCCCGGUACUGACGCUGAGGCGCGAAAGCGUGGGGAGCAAACAGG
rnacentral:rRNA from 1 species